rnacentral:rRNA from 1 species
CCUACGGGUGGCAGCAGUCGAGAAUCAUUCACAAUGGCGGUAACGCUGAAGGUGCGACGUCGCGUGGGGGAAUGAAGGUCUUUGGUUUGUAAACCUCUGUCAUGUGGGAGUAAAUUUAACAGCUAGUACCUCAUGAGGUAUAGCCUGCUAACUCUGUGCCAGCAGCCGCGGUAAUACAGAGGACUCAAGCGUUGUUCGGAAUCACUGGGCGUAAAGCGUGCGGAGGCUGGUUCGUAAGUCGUGUGUGAAAGGCGCUGGCUCAACCAGAGGAGGGCACAUGAUACUGUGAGACUAGAGUAAGUGCGAGGGAACCGGAAUGCGCGGUGUAGCAGUGAAAUGCAUAGAUAUCGAGCAGAACAC